rnacentral:rRNA from 1 species
GGUCCCGCCUGGCCCUGGUGACUACGUGUUUAACGGCCGCGGUAUUUUGACCGUGCGAAGGUAGCGCAAUCACUUGUCUUUUAAAUGGAGACCUGUAUGAAUGGCAUAACGAGGGCUUAACUGUCUCCUCUUUCCAGUCAAUGAAAUUGAUCUCCCCGUGCAGAAGCGGGGAUAACUUCAUAAGACGAGAAGACCCUAUGGAGCUUUAGACAUAAAGCAGAUCAUGUUAAGGACCCUCACACAAGAACCAAAACAGGACGAAACCUGCUAGAGUGUCUUUGGUUGGGGCGACCACGGAGGAAAACACAUCCUCCAUGCGGAACGGGACCCAUCAAGUCCCAUAACCAAGAGCCUCCCGCUCUAAGUAUCAGAAACUUUUGACCUACCAGAUCCGGCCUAACGCCGAUCAACGAACCGAGUUACCCUAGGGAUAACAGCGCAAUCCCCUUUCAGAGCCCAUAUCGCCAAGGGGGUUUACGACCUCGAUGUUGGAUCAGGACAUCCUAAUGGUGCAGCCGCUGUUAAGGGUUCGUUUGUUCAACGAUUAAAGUCCUACGUGAUC